rnacentral:lncRNA from 1 species
GGCUGGGCCGAGGUAACCGUCUUUCCGACGAGGUCUCUGAGCUAUUCGCGCUCGGAAGGGUGGCCCCGGGGACCGCGGAGCGGCCUGUGGCACCGUAGGGGCUAGGCAGCUUGCAGCCGAGUCCCGGGGCGCAGGAAGCAGAUCUUCCUCUCCAACCCCCGCCCUCCCUGCUCGGCGCACACCUCCUCCCUGACGCAUUUUGCCGCACAAGCUGUAAUAUGGCGGCAGCGACAGCGGCCUCGGCUCUCGGGAGCUAGGUUCUUUUGGAUGCUUCCAAACCGAGAGACUGAGCGCUGCAACGUGGAACAAAACGAUUGACUCAGUUAUCCUUGGUGGGUUUUCGUUUUUUAUUGUUUCCCCUAAACUGAAAGACUGAAGUGUCGGAACCAUGGGAAUAAAGGUUCAGCGUCCUCGAUGUUUUUUUGACAUUGCCAUUAAUAAUCAACCUGCUGGAAGAGUUGUCUUUGAAUUAUUUUCCGAUGUAUGUCCCAAAACGUGUGAGAACUUUCGUUGUCUUUGUACAGGUGAAAAGGGGACAGGGAAAUCAACUCAGAAGCCAUUACAUUAUAAGAGCUGUCUCUUUCAUAGAGUUGUCAAGGAUUUCAUGGUUCAGGGUGGUGACUUCAGUGAAGGGAAUGGAAGAGGAGGAGAAUCAAUUUAUGGAGGAUUCUUUGAAGAUGAGAGUUUUGCUGUUAAACACAACAAAGAGUUUCUCUUAUCAAUGGCCAACAGAGGGAAGGAUACA